AGCGAACGCUGGCGGCAGGCUUAACACAUGCAAGUCGAACGGGCACUUCGGUGUCAGUGGCAGACGGGUGAGUAACGCGUGGGAACAUACCUCUUGGUUCGGAACAACACAGGGAAACUUGUGCUAAUACCGGAUAAGCCCUUACGGGGAAGAUUUAUCGCCGAGAGAUUGGCCCGCGUCUGAUUAGCUAGUUGGUGUGGUAAAAGCGCACCAAGGCGACGAUCAGUAGCUGGCUGAGAGGAUGAUCAGCCACAUUGGGACUGAGACACGGCCCAAACUCCUACGGGAGGCAGCAGUGGGGAAUAUUGGACAAUGGGCGCAAGCCUGAUCCAGCCAUGCCGCGUGAGUGAUGAAGGCCCUAGGGUUGUAAAGCUCUUUUGUACGGGAAGAUAAUGACGGUACCGUAAGAAUAAGCCCCGG
rnacentral:rRNA from 1 species